GCUUGAUCUUGCUUGAGAUGCAGCGGUGAAUGUUAUUAUAGCAGACAGAACUGGUUGCUCAAGUUGCUUGGAGAGAUUGACUGACACAGAAAGCAGAGUAGCUGUAUUUUAUGUCCAGGUACUGUUGACUUCAUGUGAAAAUAAAGGAAAGAUUUGUAUUCAAAAUUAUUCUCAGCCAUGGAAACCACAUGAUAGCCUUGGAGAAGUCACACUUCCUCAGCUUCAGUGGAAGGCAAAGACAAG
rnacentral:lncRNA from 11 species